rnacentral:lncRNA from 1 species
ACGCCUCACCAGAACAGCACGUAGCAGGCCCCCGUGGAGGAUUAACACAGUGGCUGAACACCGGGAAGGAACUGGCACUUGGAGUCCGGACAUCUGAAACUUGAGUUGACAAGCCGACAUCAGUCUCCAGAGUGAAUCCAAGGAGUGGACCCAAGACAUUUGUGUUCUGUGAUGUGGUGGCAUGUUACCUGUCAUCUCUGAUGCAUAACUCCUAAAGUGUUUGCGUCUGGGGCAGUUGUACAGAUUGCAAAGGAUAAUACUCAAGAUGUCCUCCAAGGCCAACUACUCAUCAGUUUAUUCAUGUUUCUGGGACUGGAUUCAUGAAUUCAUCCUUUCAACUAUUUCAACAAGCUUUUUCAUGUAACUAAUCUGUGGAAGGUAGAAAGGGGAAAACUGUUGGGUGCUAAAAUGACAACUGGUUCAAGAACUCCCAAGAUGGUCGUGGGCCACUUCCAAGAUGGUGGCAAGAGUCGUAUUCUCUGACCUGGGGUUCUUGGUCUCAUGGAUUCCAAGGAAUGGAAUCUUGCGCCAUGUGUCCAAAGAAGAAGGAAGAAGAAAGGGGAUAUAAUGAGAAUGAGGAGCGUCAGAUAAUUAGGCAGCAGUCCAACAAUUAGGUUUUGUGGAACUUUUACUAUGUCAUCUAUUUAUUGGAAUUCCCUCUGGAUACCAGGACCCCCUCCAGCAGAGCUUAAAGUUAUAGUUACAGGAAGUACAAAUUCCGUAUGUGGAUCCCUGGAAGUGUGAUGAGAAGAACCACUGUUUCCAAGAUCUAUUUAUUCUAUUUAUCAGGCCUAUAAAAUCAUGUAAUGGCCAUGGCUUCAACUAGACUCC